rnacentral:rRNA from 1 species
AGCUCCAAUGGCGUAUAUUAAAGUUGCUGCGGUUAAAGCUCGUAGUUGGAGUUCUGCCGAGGAAGACUGGUCCGCCCUCUGGGUGAGUAUCUAGAUUGGCCUGGGCAUUUUCUUGGAGAAAGUGGUUGCGCUUGGCUGCGUGGCGCGGUAUCCAGGACCUGUGCUUUGAGGAAAUCAAUAGCAUGGAAUACUACGAGAGGAUCUCAGUUCUAUUGUGUUGUUUCGCAGAGCUGCGGUAAUGGUUAAUAGGGAUGGCUGGGGGUGUUUGCACUUAAUUGUCAGAGGUGAAAUUCUUGGAUUUGUUAAAGACGGACACUGCGAAAGCAUUCGCCAAGGAUGUUCUCA